rnacentral:misc_RNA from 1 species
ACUUCUCAACCCCGCCUAUGCUUGCAUAGGUUGUUAGGGCUUGGAUCAUGGUUGUUGCCGGCUUGUAUUAGCCUUGGCUCAACUCAAAUACAACAAGUUGAAUAGAUCAUUCCUGCGGCUUGUACCCAAUGUUGUAGACAAAACAUCUCGUUGGGGACGCUUGACUAUAGUCGUGUCUAAUGAACUUAAGAAGUGUGAUUUGGUCUUGUACCUUAUCCAUUUUUGCA